GAUGAACGCUGGCGACGUGCCUAAUACAUGCAAGUCGAGCGAACAGACGAGGAGCUUGCUCCUCUGACGUUAGCGGCGGACGGGUGAGUAACACGUGGAUAACCUACCUAUAAGACUGGGAUAACUUCGGGAAACCGGAGCUAAUACCGGAUAAUAUAUUGAACCGCAUGGUUCAAUAGUGAAAGACGGUUUUGCUGUCACUUAUAGAUGGAUCCGCGCCGCAUUAGCUAGUUGGUAUGGUAACGGCUUACCAAGGCAACGAUGCGUAGCCGACCUGAGAGGGUGAUCGGCCACACUGGAACUGAGACACGGUCCAGACUCCUACGGGAGGCAGCAGUAGGGAAUCUUCCGCAAUGGGCGAAAGCCUGACGGAGCAACGCCGCGUGAGUGAUGAAGGUCUUCGGAUCGUAAAACUCUGUUAUUAGGGAAGAACAAAUGUGUAAGUAACUAUGCACGUCUUGACGGUACCUAAUCAGAAAGCCACGGCUAACUACGUG
rnacentral:rRNA from 1 species